GGUAUAAACCCGGGAAACUGGGUAUAAUACCCGAUAGGUCUCGAUUGCUGGAAUGCAUCGAGAUUUAAAGCUCCGGCGCCUAAGGAUGGGUCUGCGGCCUAUCAGGUAGUAGUGGGUGUAGCGUACCUACUAGCCUACGACGGGUACGGGUUGUGAGAGCAAGAGCCCGGAGAUGGAUUCUGAGACACGAAUCCAGGCCCUACGGGGUGCAGCAGGCGCGAAAACUUUACAAUGCUGGCAACAGCGAUAAGGGAACCUCGAGUGCCAGGUUACAAAUCUGGCUGUCGAGAUGCCUAAAAAGCAUUUCAUAGCAAGGGCCGGGCAAGACCGGUGCCAGCCGCCGCGGUAACACCGGCGGCUCGAGUGGUAACCGUUAUUAUUGGGUCUAAAGGGUCUGUAGCCGGCCGGAUAAGUCUCUUGAGAAAUCUGGCAGCUUAACUGUCAGGCUUUCAGGAGAUACUGUCUGGCUCGAGGCCGGGAGAGGUGAGAGGUACUUCAGGGGUAGGGGUGAAAUCUUGUAAUCCUUGAAGGACCACCAGUGGCGAAGGCGUCUCACCAGAACGGACCUGACGGCAAGGGACGAAAGCUAGGGGCACGAACCGGAUUAGAUACCCGGGUAGUCCUAGCCGUAAACGAUACUCGCUAGGUGUCGGCCACGGUGCGACCGUUGUCGGUGCCGUAGGGAAGCCGUGAAGCGAGC
rnacentral:rRNA from 1 species